UUUUGAAUCUAUUGAAAAGUAGGUUUAUAUAAUUUAGAGAAUUUUUAAGAAAUCGCCUAUAAAAUGUUUAAUGAUUUUUAUUUUUUAUUGAGCAAGAUUACUGUGCUAUUAGGAGCUCAUCCUUUCUAUUUCUAAGUUUUUAAUUAUUCAUCAAUUUUGAUGGAUGGUUAGGAUGAGAGAGAAAAAAAAUUUGAGAAAAAAUUAAGGAGUUAAGCUAGAAUACUCUCAAAAGUACCAUGAAGGUGAUGCUUUUGAGUUUUAGCCAUUGGAUAGAGAGAUGUGAGGUUGAGAUGAUGAUGAUGAUGGUUGGUGGUGGUAGGUGUAAUAUUGUUUGAUCAAAAAGCUAUUAGUAAUCAAGGAGUAAAUCCAAGGGCCAGAAACUUAGAAGCACAAAGGGAUUGGUGCUUUUAAAAAUAUUCUAGCUCAAUUCAAAAAUUAAGUAUCUCAAAUUUUUUUUUUAAAAUUUAUUUUCAAUUUCUUUUUUCUCUCUCAUCUUAAUCACCUAUUAAAAUUAAUAAAUAGUUAAAAUUUAAACCAAUUGUCCUUAACGCAAGUGGCAAAAAGACUUGAUGGUUAGUAUCCGAAAUCCAAGUUCGAAUACUAGUUGAUUUAUAUUUCAAGCUAAAUUUAUUUUUAAAUAAAAUAAACGAAGCGAAUAGUAUGCUAUUUUUUUCUAAAAAA
rnacentral:lncRNA from 1 species